CACUUUUAAAAUUAUACAUUCAUAUAAUGUUCACAUUUUCAAAUAGGAGAAGGCUCUCUCAACUGAAUAGUACAAUGUAACACGUGAUUUAGGAAACUCAUUUACUCUUUAAGUUAUGAAAGUCAUUCGUAGCUUCCAAUUAUACCUCUCGGAUCAUUAAUGGAUAAUAACAUACAAACACAUAUUGUUUACUUUCCAACCACUUGAACCAGUUCAUUUUUUCAUUAGUACCAUGCCAGUCUGUUCAUAUCUGCCAAUUCUCCCUCUCUGGAAAAUAUCUGUGUUAAGCCAACUUCAACUCACAAAACUUUAACAUGAAAUUGCAGAACUUGGCUGUCUUAAAACACAUCAGUACUUUCUUGUGCCUUUGGUACACUUUCUGCUUUUGAUAUUUUUCUUGAAGGCAGAAAAUAGCUAUUAGUAAUUAAACUUUAAAAAUAUAUUAAAAAGUUGUAGUAUUGCACUUGCAACUUUUAGAAAAUAAUCAUAUUUUACAACCAAAUUAUGGACACCUAGACUUUAAAUAAAUUUAAAAUUUCACCUUAUUCUUCAUAAGUGACACAUACAUUGGACAGUCAAGAGGUCUGAAAAUUUCAGACCAUAUUUAGAUGGCUGAAAUCAGAGUAGCUGCUAUCAUCACCAACACAUGGAAGCUCAAGGAAGGUUUUUAUUUGAUGACAACAAUGCAACAAAUUGUAACAUCCUGUCCAGCUGAGAUUCUUUUGUAGCAGGGUUAUGAGUUUAACAAUGUAAUGAAGGUAAUCUAAUAUUGACACAUUCAAUAGCGUUUUUCCUUAAGAAGUUUACCGAUACUAAUACAAUAGUACAUUAGUUAAUCUUCAGUUUCUUCUAAGGAAUCAAAGUUGAAUUGAAUUGCCUACUUAAAUUAUGGGGCACUGCUUUUAUUUAAAAUAAAAUUUGCUCUGGAGAGGGAAUAACUCACCUGUUCUAGUUUUGCUCUUUCUCAUGGAGAUUGGUGCUCAGGAAUAAUAUGAUUCUUUUCAUUUAAUUCAUGAAAUAUCCUUGUAAAAAUAAUCACACUUGUCCCUCAAGCCCGUUAAAGGCUGCUGGGCUGCUGAUUUUUGCUUAUUAAAACUAAAACUCAGCACUCAGCAUGCUGAUUUUUUUUUUUUUUUCUGGGAGGAGGGUGGUGAGAUAAAGUUUGCAUAAGCAUAAAGUCCUACUAUGUUAAACUGCUGUUUGCUAAAACAUUCUGACCCAGAAGCAUAAAAUUAUACCUCCUUUACCCCUAGAAAAAGGGAACUUUUCUGAACAGUCUGUGGUCCAAGCCUAUGCUUUUAGAAACGCUGUAUUAAUGAUUUUGUUGAAAAAUGUGCUUAUAAUGCAAAUGUGCUUAUGCAGUUUUCAUCCUUCUGUUCGGUGUAUUAGUGAUAGAACCACAAAGUAUUAAUCGGAACACUGGUUCACUCAGCUUAAGACUCUAUCAGCCUUCCUUGCAUGUAAGUUUGAUCAAAUGACUAAGUUCUGGCUGCUGAUUUAUAAACAAAAAAUGAUCUCUGCAACUGAAGUGUCAUGUCUUUAAAAGAUAGCUUCUUAUUACAUCUUUUUUUUCCCUCCUUCUUGCUGGUUAGAGGCCAUCUUUGAAGAAGUAAACAAGUACCAUACACUAAAGGGAUGACAGAACAACGAAACAAAAGAUUACAGCAAAGCUUUCUGCUUUCCUUUCUUGCUCUGAUACCCUCAAAAUUAUACUCUGUUCCUGGGAUUCCAGAGUCUUCUGCCACAACCAAGGCUUCCGAGGCGAUCCGGCAACAUCAGUCUUCAGCCGCUAAGCCAAGAAGAUCUGGGAAGGAGUCAAUCAGAGAGCCUUGGGCCAGAGUUCCAGGGGCUGUGGAAGUGGCUGCCAGGGUGUGGUGACGCAACCUGUAGUCCCAGCACUUCGGGAGGCCGAGGUGGCAGAUCACUCGAGCUCAGGAGUUCAAGAGCAGCCUGGCAAAAUCCCGUGACUCCAGAAGUAUGAAAAUUAGCCGGGCGUGGUGGCGCACACCUGUAGUCCUAGCUACUUGGGAGGCUGAGGUGGGAGGAUUGCGUGAGCUCGGGAGGUUAAGGCUGCAGUGAGCUGAGAUCGCACCACCACACUGCGGUCUGGGUGACAGAGUGAGAUCCUGUCUCAAAAAACAAAAUAAAAUAUAACAAAACUGGUAUAGACAUUCAUA
rnacentral:lncRNA from 1 species